GCGUCACUAUGUCAUCAUGUUGAUGUCAAAUUUUUUCUUUUUUAAUUUGAAUAGUAAAACGACAACAUUUACCUAGAUGAUUGAUUUGUUUCUUUUUCUCCAUUUCUACACGCCUUGUUAUUCUACCUCUUCACUUCCACUCUACCUCUUGCUCAUUUUCACACACAAUUGUCCAUAUUAUGUUGCAACGAGAGUCGCCUUUUCACUGUCAAGGAUUACAAAUCUAAGAUCGAGUCAUAGUUUUGAAACUUCUGCAAUGGAAUUUUGAAACUUUUCGACUCAAAACUCAUCUGAUCUACCACCACUUGUGACUCCAAGGUUUUCUACUUGAAGAUGAAGAUUUUACGGUUUUGGAGCCAAUUCUAUUGGACGAGUGAGUUAUAUUUUUAACCUAAUUCAACCGAGUUACAGACCCCAAUGGACGCGUGAUGAAUGUGAGAAGCAUCUGCCUUGGGACGCCUAUAUGUUGAUGAAUGGGAGGGAGAAAAGUCAAUGGAGAACUACCAAAUCCAAUAACUUCUCUUUCUUUGUACCAUUCUUAUUUAUGUUUAGUUAUAUUAUGUUUGUACAAUUGAGUUGUGUUAGGUUACUUGUUUUCAAUAAAAGAAGACAAUUAUGGGUUUCGAUC